rnacentral:rRNA from 1 species
GAGUNNGAUCCUGGCUCAGAUUGAACGCUGGCGGCAGGCCUAACACAUGCAAGUCGAGCGGAUGACGGGAGCUUGCUCCUUGAUUCAGCGGCGGACGGGUGAGUAAUGCCUAGGAAUCUGCCUGGUAGUGGGGGACAACGUUUCGAAAGGAACGCUAAUACCGCAUACGUCCUACGGGAGAAAGCAGGGGACCUUCGGGCCUUGCGCUAUCAGAUGAGCCUAGGUCGGAUUAGCUAGUUGGUGGGGUAAUGGCUCACCAAGGCGACGAUCCGUAACUGGUCUGAGAGGAUGAUCAGUCACACUGGAACUGAGACACGGUCCAGACUCCUACGGGAGGCAGCAGUGGGGAAUAUUGGACAAUGGGCGAAAGCCUGAUCCAGCCAUGCCGCGUGUGUGAAGAAGGUCUUCGGAUUGUAAAGCACUUUAAGUUGGGAGGAAGGGCAGUAAGUUAAUACCUUGCUGUUUUGACGUUACCGACAGAAUAAGCACCGGCUAACUCUGUGCCAGCAGCCGCGGUAAUACAGAGGGUGCAAGCGUUAAUCGGAAUUACUGGGCGUAAAGCGCGCGUAGGUGGUUUGUUAAGUUGGAUGUGAAAGCCCCGGGCUCAACCUGGGAACUGCAUCCAAAACUGGCAAGCUAGAGUACGGUAGAGGGUGGUGGAAUUUCCUGUGUAGCGGUGAAAUGCGUAGAUAUAGGAAGGAACACCAGUGGCGAAGGCGGACCACCUGGNNNUNAUA